GAGUGUUAAAGAUGGAAGAAACCUAAGGCAUCCACUGAGGAAAGUUGCAGGCAAUAGAGAUAGAAAGACUCAAGAAUUGAAAAACUCUUGGAAGAGGAUACUCAAGCAAAGUCUGGACCGCCUUUCUGAAAUAGGGCUCACCUCGAAAGCAAAUGAAAACAACAGGAGCCCGGAAGAGAGUUUUCAUCUUCAGGAGUGAGAGACACUUAUGAAGCCCCAGAAGAUGUUGUUGAUGUCAGACAUUGAGUUCAAGGGGAAGCAGGAUGCCUGUUACAGAGAAGGUCACUAGAAUCUGGAGGGAACUGAAGACAGUAUUGCUGAGCUAUAAUAAAAGUAGAAAAUGAGAUUACCUUCCCAUUGAAGUGAAGAGUCAGACAAGAACAAUUCAAUAUGGGGAUAUAAAAAACUGGGAUUUUAUUUAACGUCUGCAAAGAGGGCAUCCAGAUGUAAAGAGAUAUUAACUAUUAAAAGAUGGGUUAAAAGCUAUUGAAGUCAUGAUGGUUCAUGCCUGUAAACACAGAAUUCAAGAAUGUGGGAAAAAGGACUUCAGAGGU